GGUAGCACAUGUUCUUAUAUUUGGGAUCAAAGCAAAUGAGAGCACUUGAAGGAUUUAAGAAAAAAAAAUUCUAUUGAACCUAGGAACUUUUUUCAGAAGUUUUCUCGAAAAUGAAAGUUUUAGCGGGAUUUUUCCCAGAGUUGUUUCCAGGACUUCUCUUGCAGGUUUUCCGGAAUUUCUUCCGCUGUUCCAGCCGCAAUUCCUACUAAAAAUCUUCCAGCAUUUCUAGAGCAAUCCUUCCUGGAAUUUCUUCAAAUUCCAAAUGUUCGUGGGGUGGCCAGACUUUGUCACGAGAUAACAAUUAUCAUGUUGUUUUCCGAAGGUCUCCAGUGAAUUUAGCUUACCCUGCUAUAACAAACCAUCAGGUACAUCAUUCCGUUCUGGUAUGACUCUGCAGCCAUAGGUAAACCUUGUGCUGAUGGUGGGUACACAAUCAUCAUCAUCAUCAUAAAUUCAAAAUGGCGGCCGAAAUCAAUAUGGUCGACCAAACUUUUUAUAACUGCAAAAAGUACCUCUAUCAUUUCUCCUUUCAACAGCAUUUUGUUUGGAAGUGGUUUCUGGAGAAACUUUCGAGUUAUAACGGUUUUAAUGAACCAACAAUUGACCAAAAUCGAGGGGCAAAAAUGGUUGUGGCUCUAACUAACGGGGGUCCAUCAAUUUGAUUAAGUAAAUGCAUUUUCCUAACUUUUUUGGGAAGGACUUGCAGAAAAUCACCACCUUAGCCAUUUUUGAAGACAUGGUGUAAAUGUGGGACGGUCUCAGCGAGAGUUACCCAAUCUAUUUCAGCAUUCAGCAUUGUGGAGCCUCGUAGCCGUGCGGUUAGGGUCACCAAGCUUAUAAUCGCACCAUGCUAUGGGGUGAGGGUUCGAUUCUCGCUUCGGGCGUUGAAACUUUUCGUGAGAAUAGUUUCUUCCCCGUUUCCACUGGUGCAUGCUCCGUUGUCCGUUGUCUCAGUGGCGUCUCGUAACCUCAAUUUUUACCUGUUCAACGACCCUAAAACUUGUAUUUGCGAAGAGUACAGGACCAGGAUCAAAUUGAAAAUGGACGGAAACUACUAUUCUCGCCAUUUUCUACAAAUUACAAGCCAAUUUGUUAAGAAAAUUCAAGGAUUUACAUUUGUUGAACAGGUAGAUUUGAGGUUAGGGAAUCGCCACUGCGUUGUCUAAUGUUAAGUUUAAAACAGUCUGUACAGCCGAAAGCUGAAGACGUUGUCCGUGUCUUUUUUUUUUUUUUUAAAAAAAAGUGAAUAUGGUAAAUUUUGUGAGCCAGAGUUCCAUUUAUCUUCUGAGAGGUAUUCCAGACUAUAUUCUGUGAUCAAAUCUGAAACAAUCCAGAGAGCAGGUUUGGACAGAUUCGAGGAGUAAAUUCCAGAAAGAAUCCCGGAAGGAAACUGGAAGGAAUCCCAAAAUGAGUUCUGUAGAAAAUCGCAGAAGGAUGAAAGAUGUCUUGAAUAAGAUUUUUUUGGAAAAUACUAUGUAAAAUUUGGGAUAGAUGAGAAGAUUUUCAAAUGGAAAUUCCGAAUUUCCAGAUUCCAUUUAGUACCAGUAGCAACAACGAGAACCGCUGGGAAGCACCCCGGCAGAAAUGCUGGGGGAAAUCGCACAUAAAUACCGGGAGCAUACCGGGAAAACCUCUGGAACCCCAAGAUGAACUUCUGCAGAAACCCUAUAGAAAAACUUCUGAAAAAUCCUAAGAGAAAUGAGAGAAAUACGGAAUUCAAUGUAGAAAAAUUUUCAAGGAUUCUUCAAAAGAAUUAUUUAAAGAUGAACUUGAAAUGACUUUAUGCCAAAUGUCCCGCUCCCAUCCAAAACGACCUUCGAAUGGAAUUCAAGGAGGAAUUCCAUAACAAAAAACUCUAGGAGGAAAUUCGGAAGGAAUGUGAUAAAUCUAGGAAAGAAUCCACACAUAAAUGGUUAGUGAGUUCCAGAAAACAAUCUCUUACGAAAUUGUUAGAAGAAUCCACGAAGUACGUGCAAAAUUACUUACACGACUGAAGUAAAGAAUGUACACAGGAAAGGAAUUCGAAGGAAUUUGCAAUAUCUAGUAUUGUACCGAAUGCCCAGUAUAUUGUACCGCUACUGUUACUUGAUGUUCACUCCGAUUUAGAAUGUAACUACUAACAGUAGUACACAGAGGCGUCGCGUGCCUCGUUUAGCCACAUGUGCACUUGCAGAUUUUUCAUAAAUUAUGUAGACCAGUUAUUAGACAUCUCAAACCACCCUCCAUCCCAUUUCCUUACCAUUCAUAAGUAUUUUUUUAUGUUAAAAAACAUAUUAUCCUUCCGUAACUCGCGCGGUUGACUACCUGCGUCAGCACCACGCUAAUGCUGAGUACAAAAAGCGAGAUUUUUUCAACGUGUUGUACAAAAUACAACAGCGCGAUCGCUCGAGGGUUAAAUUUUGCCUGAUUGAUCAUUAUAAUUUUAAUCGGAACGAUACAUUACUACUUCGGUACUAUUAAAAUUUGAUUCCCUAGCCUACUUCUAAUAAAGUUUCCCCUUUUUGGACAUACACAAGUACUAGUUUAUUUGUGAGCUUGGACUUGUCAUUGAUCUGGGACAGGCUAUACGGCCAUAAAUUGAUUUUCACUCCAGUUCACUUUAUGGGAUCUUUUUUUAAUGGUUAAACUUCUCGUAUGAGGGUACUAUAAUUUUACCGCUAACCGUUCAAAAUUUAAUACGGUUUACUCUAUGGAAAUCUACCUUUUUUAAAUAAAAAAUAGUUGUUAGUCGAGAAUUCAAUGUUUAUCACAUCCAAAACUGUCGAUCUUAAUCGAUCACAGAAACUGUCUAUUUUCAUCAAGGGGAAUGACAUAUCCUUUUCUAACCGGAAUAUCCACAUUCAUCCGCUUCUAACCGUCGCUAACCGUUGCUAAGCGAGCUGCUAAGUGAGCAGAAGCGGUUAGCGACGGUUAGAAAAGGAUAAAUGCGGAUAUUCUGGUUAGAAAAGGAUAUGUCAUUCCCCUUGAUUUUCAUUUGGGAAAAUAACUUUGUCUAAUUUGAAACUUCAUACAAUCUAAGUACAGUUAGUAUCUGACAUUGUGACGAUAUUUAAAAUGUACUAGUUUUCCCGGGAGACGUACUGCCAAUUUGGUUGUGCUUGUUUGACAACUGUUGAAUUUGUUUCCCACUCAUAAUAAUUUCAGUAAUUUCGUAAUUGUGCUACAUUUUAGUUGAUUUUCGUAACUUUUUCUACUUUUAAACACAGCCACCCUGAAAGCGGAUCGAGCCGAGCGAAAAUCAUGCUGAACGGUUUAUCGUUUCGUGAAUUAUAAUACCUCAAAGCGAAUUCAAACUCAUUUUUAUAGGUUUUAAGAUUUCUGUUUAGGCAAUAUGCGAUCGAUCUAAGAACGGUACAUUUUGACAAAUACGUAUUUCUAGCAUUAGAGUUUAUAAUCAGAAGUUAUUCUCGAAUCUUCAUUGACAAAAUAACUUGUACGGCUAUUUGAAUUUGUAGCUUUCGACCACCCUACUGGGAGAGCGAAACGUUUUAGCGCGAGAGAUCAGUACGAAACAGUGAGCGCCGCAUCCCCGUUUGCAAAAGCCAUGCGAAAAAGCAUCAAGUGCACCAAAGCGAUGACCAGAGAUUAAAAUUUUCAUUUUCAAUGAGUGAAAUUCAACGUGAAUUUUGAAGAUUCUCAACUGAGGGAUCAAAAUAAAAUUCAUUUUGGUGAAUGAAUUUUUUCACCUAUUCAUUCAUUUUUCUGUCACUGACAAUUUUCACUGACAAAUAAAACUGGACCGUAACUCCCGAUUAUACUUCCAAUUACCUCAAAACUUGUGUAUAGUAGUUAAUUAGAAUAUUAAUUAUGUUCUCUAUUUGUCCAUUAAGUCGGAUUGUGCGUCUGUUUACAGAAAUUGGACAUUUUACGACGUGCGAAAAAAUAUUCGUGACAGAGAAUUGAAUGAAAAAAGAGAGGCAUUCAGCUGACAAUGAAUGUGGCCAAACACGAAUGAAAAAAUGAGAAUGUCAAUCUUCACUUUCAGUCUUCGAAUUUUUUACUCUCUGGAUGACACACGUUGGGUGCCUAUGUGUUUGAAAUUUUUCUCAGCCAGCAACCAAUACUGUUGAACCACUACGCGAAUACGAUAUGCGCCAGAGCGUUUCCAACCGAGGUUCCGUGUUGCUGUUUGGAAGCCAAGCGAAAGCAUGCGGUGCGUAGCAGAUGGGUGCCGCUUUGCCUACCUAUACACACAGCCGUUGCUCGGGAACUAUCGCACUAGGGCCGCUUUCCUCUUUCAGAGAUGUUUCCUCUUUCAGAGUGUGCAAGAUCGCGAUUCCCGCGUUACUUUUAUGCAAGUUGCUUCUCGCUCGUCAUGUGGUUUGCGCGCGAUGUUGGGGAUAGUAAAGAUAGGGGGAAGCUCAAAUAAAUCGUUACACACUUUUCCGUUAAAUUCAUAUGGGUGUCAAACAUAUUUUUUCACGAAAUUUCAAUUUUAGCUACACGUGUAAUGCACAUGUUGCACAUGCGGACGCGACGCCUCUGGUAGUACACAAGAUUUUCAGAUCAAUUGGUGUGACACGGUGCUCCAUUUACCGUUAUUAUAAAAUAAAAUAUACCAUCAAAACCUGAAACGCCAUUCUCUUUAUUUAUCUAUCCUACACAAGAUCCUACACCUCUGGACAAAUUUUUAAAAUCAUCGUUGGGCGAAUUUUUGAGUUACGCCCUUUUAAAGGGCCUAACCACUAAAAAAUCGAGUUUUUUUUAAUAGAAUUACGCCACAUAUUAUAACAUAAUCAUGAAUUAAAGGCAUCAAUAACAGAAAUUAUCAUGAACAAUAUUGAAGUUUGAUAGUAUGCAUUCAUAUGAACAUCGGUGGAGUGCAUUUUGUAUCAAAAUUUGUCAGUACGCCCAUAUACGGUAGAAGUUCUUAGGGCCUAUAGAAAGCAAACAUUACAUUGGUGUAUCAAAUUCUAUAGAAAGUAUAUUGUAUUGUGAUUCCAUAUGUCAAUAGAUGUUCAUAUUACUCUCCGUCAAGGUGAUAGUAUUUACAUGCUCAGCACCAACAUUUCAAAAGGACGUAACACAAUAUCUUCUCCCAUAGCUGUCGAUCGUAUCUCUUCUUUCCCAGGACACCAACAACCACUAUCGGAAAGAAUUGCAUUUCCUCCGUCCAGUAGUGGUUGUACAUUGCAUCGGAGAGUUAAAGGUUUGGUUUCGGCAAGCAGUUUCGCCAUUUCGAAAUGUUAGCACCGAUAUAUUAAGAGCGUACAGUACACUCUCUAUACAGCAAAUCUGCCUUGAAAACAAUAGUCAAAAUUUGUCAAAAAUAUUGAAUAUGGGCAACCACAAAUUAGACAAAAUGGAAUAUGUGUGUGUGUCACAAAUCUUAAGUUAUAAGAAUAGAAAACUAAAACAUUGAAAGGCCAAAAGACAAAAAAUCGGAACGGCCAACAAAUAAUCAAACAUAAUAUUCUGGGUGAAAAUUCUUUCAUCUUGUAAAAUAUGUAGGUAAGACCUCUUGUCCCUACAUUUCUUCGACCUAUUGUCUUUCAUUUUUCAUUGCAUUUCUGGAGCAACAUUUGGAAAGGGCCCAACAGGUUUUGACAAAACCAUUUUGUGCCUUUUUUUGAAAUCGCUUCGAGGGCCUAACAGCAGCCCGCCCACGCAAAUGAACACCGUUAUCCGAAAGAUUGAUGUUUGCUCUAUCUGACAACGGUCUUAGUUUGUGUAAAUAAGUUGAUGGGGGCUCAGGAGCGACGUGUGAAGUCAUUGUUUACCAAUGCUUGUAUGCUCUUUUCAAAUGUUGAUCCAGAUUUGUACGAUUUAUCUUUUCAGCUUCAGCAUUUCAGAAGGGCGUAACUGGUUGAUGAUACAGCUCCUUCUUCUAUGGAUGUAGAUUGCAUGUCACCCCUCUAAUGUAAGUCAUCGAAAGAGGAGCAUUCUUUUUGUCUAGAAGUGCCACGCCACAGCUUUGGAAAAAAAAAUCUCGGAUACUUUUUCAAAAAGACGUAUAAUAUACGCAAAUUCUAUGUUGAUACGUCGUUUUGAAUAAGUAUCCGAGAAAUGUUGUUUUGGAAAGCAGUUACGCGCUCUUGAAAUGCUGAGGUUGAGAAGACAAAACGUAGAAAUGCAAAAAAAAUCGAAGACAAUAUUGCGUGUUUUACCGUGGAUUAUCGCACAAAAAUGUUCAAAAUCGCUAAUAGAUCGUCGCCAGUACAUCAUAUCGUAUUCGUGUCUUCUACAAUAAAUGCGGAAAAUAGCUAAUGAUUGAUCGCCCAGAAGACACCGAAACGAUUAAAUGUAACCACGCAUAUCUAUUUACAUUUUAGCAUAACUUUGCGCCAUAAUUUUUCUUGUAAUAAGUCGAAAAAAAUAAAAUUAGUAGGGACAAAAGGUCUUACCUGCAUAUUUAAAAAAAAAAGAAAGAAUUUUGAAGAACCGUGAUCGCAUUCUUUUCUAACGUAUUUUGUGAUUCAUUCUUCUCGCAAUGAAUGUGCAGCGAAAGAAUACCAUUGUGGUUGAUUUUGGAAUCCUUCCCACGCGGCCUGAAAUUGUCAAGAUCCAGCAAUUUCUGGAAAACGACAUUCAGCUGCAGAUGCCUGACGUAGAGAACAUUCAGCUGCACCAUAUUCGCGGCUGUGUUUUGAUCGAAGUCAAAGAUAUGUAGUGACAUUGCUGCUCGAUAUCAGCAACUGCACAACAAUAGGCACAAUAUCAUGCAUGGAGACAAAGCCUUCAGAAUUCCCGUCUAUGUCGAGAAUGAAGCGGUGCCGGUGCGUGUUCUCGACCUUCCACCGGCAAUGAAGCACACCACAAUAAUUGAUUUUUUGACGCAGUAUGGCAAAGUUCAAUCGGUUACCAGAGAGCGCUGGAAAAAAAUCUUUCCGGGCGUGUACAACGGAGUUCGGAUUCUGCACAUGAAGAUCGAACGUCCGAUCCCUUCCUUCGUAACUAUUGAGGGACACGAGACCUCAAUCUCUUACCCAGGUAUGCAAAAAACCUGCAGGCAGUGUAAUCAACCUGCCCAUCCGAAGCAAAAGUGUUUGGGUGCACCGAACAAUAUCAUCACUUCCUCAAAAACACCAACCAAUACCGCGCCCUCGUCGGUUCCAGCGAAAGGAUCGCUUUUCGUUGAACGUUGACGACUUUCCACCGAUCAGCGCACAGCGAACAACAGCAGCGGCAGAGACAACAAACGCACAACAACAAGCAGGACCGAAAAGCGUACCUACGACGGUGAUCGACGACGAACGACGGAGAGCAACAGAACCGAACCUCGAGAACGUGAACGACGACAGCUAAUCUUCUUGCUCAAUUGAAACCACCAACAAGCGGCAGCUGAGAUCAACUGCGGCAAAGGAAAGGAAGAAAAUGUGUUCUAGUUUAACUUCUCUGAACCAUUGUCAGCCCAGUGUUGAUAACCUUUCUCAGGGUGAUGCAAUUUUUUCGGACUUUAAACGUUCAAAUACAUCAACAACUAUUUUUAAAUCGGGUAAAAAUAAGAAGAAGUUGUAAAGAUUGUAAUACUGCUAAGAGACGAACCAGCUCAGGGCUGAAAGUCUCAAAAAUAAAGAAAUAAAAAAAUCUUUCCUAUAGUGGUUGUUGAUGUCCUGGGAAAGAUGAGAUACAAUCUACAGCUAUGGGAAAAUAUAUUGUUUUAAAGAUCUGUUACGUCUUUUUGAAAUAUUGGUGCUGAUGUGCAUGUGAAUAAUAUCGCUAUGACUGACAGUAAUAUGAACAUCUAUUGGCAUAUGGAAUCACAAUACAAUAUACUUUUAAUUGAAUUUGAUACACCAAUGUAAUGUUUGCUUUCUAUACGCCCUAAGAACUUCUACCGUAUGUUGGCGUACUGACAAAUGUUGAUACAAAAUGCACUCCACCGAUAUUCAUAUGGAUACAUACAAUCAAAUUUCAAUAUUGUUCAUGAUAAUUUAUGUUAUUGAUGCCUUUAAUUCAUGAUGCUGUUAUGAAAUGUGGUGUUAUUCUAUAGAAAACUCGAUUUUUUAGAGGUUAGGCCCUUUAAAAGGGCGUAACUCAAAAAUUCGCCCAACGAUGAUUUUAAAAAUUUGUCCAGGGGUGUAGGAUAGAUAGGGGUAGGCGGGGCAUUAUGGACACCCGGGGCAGAAUGGACACCCUCAAUAUUUUGAAAUAUGCGAACUUUUUUAAACUUUUAAUGAAUGGAGAAUAUAGUUCAUUUGUCUAAAACGUAGCUUCAGGAAAGAUACAUUCGAAAUUAAAAUUAUACUUGAUUUUACACGAAAAAGUUGCGUUCUCCGUUUUUUGUGCAUGGAAAUUAUAAUUUUCACACCAUCUGAAAUAAGAUUUAGUGAUUAAUUUAUUGCAGGUCGAUAAAAACCUCAUAUUCCUAGAACACAUGCAAGUAGUUUUGCUGCAUCUACAUGCUUAACAUGUUUAUAUUUUCUUCUUUAUUAUAUCAAAAAUCAAGUUUGGAAAUAUCUUCUGCUGCCGGGGCAAAAUGGACACUCAUCUUUUUGAAAGAAGCGGCAAGAGAAAAAUAUAACCUAAAUCACAAACCAACCAAAUUCUUCGAUUUCAGUAUAUUUUCGGUUAAAUGUCUACUAUAGUAGACAUAGGGUGAAACAAAUUGGUCAAAAAACGACAGCAGUGGAAAAUAGUUGUUCUAGGCACAGCUGUACAUGCCGGCAAAAACGAAGCUUUAUCCAAAACAGCCUGAAUUUAAAUUAACUGAACAAAAAUGAACUACUUCGGCGUAUUAUUCAUCCAUAAUAGUUGUUUUGUAAUGAAAUGACUUUAUAGGUGUAAUUAAUGUACGAAAUUCGUAAAAGUCUCAUGGUGUCCAUAUUGCCCCAUGGGGGUGUCCAUUCUGACCCGUAUGCUUGAAGACGGUCAUGAAAAACUAACAUUUUUCAUAACAUUUUUUGAAGUGGAUAUAGUUAUUUAUGCAACAAGUUGCAAAAUGAUGAUUUUUUCAGCACGAGUCGUACAUUUAUCCAACGAGGCUUGCCGAGUUGGAUAAAUACGACGAGUGCUGAAAAAAUCGAGUUUUGCAACGAGUUGCAUACAACAUUUUUUGUAAUUACGAAGACUACCCUUUCAGUACAAUCUUUUCUAGAAACACAAGCAUGUUUCAGUGGAGACCACGUGCUAACCUCCGUGCUAGUCAGCGUAGUUUUUUUUGUUUGAUCAGGUAGGCUAUGGUGUAGUCAGGCUGGUUGUAGGUGUCGCAAGCACCAGGACGUCAAGCAGCAGCAGUGGUCACAGGUGGGCGCCAGUAAAAGCAGUUUCAGCUGCUGUUUCUGCAUCUGAACCAAUCGAAUCAGGAUUGACGAUAGCCCUAUUUCGGAUUCAAAUUAUUUAGAGGAUGUAGAAGCAGAUGCAGAAUGUACGGGAGUUGCGGUCAUUGGAAAAAGUGCGUGUUGGCAAAAGUGCCGAAAAGCGCUACUUUUCAGCACUCUUGUUUUGGUGAAGAAAAGUAGGCCGUUUUGUUAUUCUCAUCGCGAGUGAAAAGUAGGUCAUUUGACAACGUAAUUACAAAAAAUCAUUUUUCUUCUUGCAUUCUUAUGCAAUAGAUGCUAAAUAGACUUUAAAAGGAUACAUGUAUCAAAAAACUAAACUUUUUUGACAUCUUGCCAGGUAAAGUUGGCAAAAACCUUAGGGUGUCCAUAUUGCCCCGCCUACCCCUAAAUAAAGAGAAUGGCGUUUCAGGUUUUUAUGGUAUAUUUUAUUUUAUAAUAAUGGUAAAUGGAGCACCGUGCGUGAUGGAGCUCCAGAUUUGUGCUCGAGAAAACUUGAGUAAAAUGAAAAGCAGCCUUUGUGGCGGUAAUCUUUGUAAUUGAGCUACCGCGUCCUUAAUCGCUGCGCUUCAACCCCAACGCUCCAACAUUGAUACUCGUUAAAAUUUUGGAUCACGGCAGUCGCAGUCAUUGUAAAAGAUACCUAGUGUCCUAUUUCUAUUGGAAGGCACCGACACCUGUAGUGUGGGAUUAUGUGCGCUACCGUAUGAAGUUUCCAAACGGGUCAAGUGGCAUCGAGUGUCGGGUCGGAGUCAUACCGGUCAAUCCAAUUAUACAUAUUUUUUUUUUUGCAAUAGAACACUAUGCUACAGUAUAAACAAAGUAAUGCAUAAGCUCUACUUAGUGUUUCUGUUCAACUGGUUUUAUGUUGGACUACAAAGAGAGAUGGUGCAGGGAUGUCCGGUUCGUCAAAUCUAGCAACGUCCAAGCGACUACAGGGAAUAGACAAAAUGAUCGGGACAGGCAAAAUUUUCUUUUUCCAAAAAAUGUUACACUAGCUGUAACUUUUCGAAAAGUGCAUCAAAUAUUCUCAAAUUUUUACUGUAAGUUCUUCAACUAGUUGUAUAUCAGUGGACAAAGUUUGAAAAAAAUCGGACAAUUUUUCACGAAGUUAUAAAGAUUUUUGAAAAAGAUAAAAUUAUCCGAUAGCCAACUUUGAGCUGUUAUAUCUCCGGAUUCAAUGAACCGAUUGCAAUGAAAUUUUGACCAUUCAUGACUUAUAUAAUGAACUCUGGAAAACAUUUAACUUAACUUGAAAUAUUUAACAAGCGAAAAAGUUAUAGCGAUUUUAUUUUUUUCACGAUUUUUUAAUAAAUUGGUCUAUUUUUAAUAUGCAUCCCAUUACUUUUUCAAUUUAUUGACGGCUAUGUUGUUACUUUCCUUCAAAACACAUUUAUAUAUAAGUCAUUUGGAGGGAAUUUAAAUGAACUAUAAUUUGCAUCUUGAAUUUUGAAACGAUGUUGAAGUUUUGGAUAAUUUGGUGUUUUAUAAGGAAAAUAAUCUAACCGUUGUAAUUUUCUUGCGUGUUAAGAAUUUUAAGUUGAGUCAAACGUUUUUUAAAGCUUAUUAUGUAAGUCAUAAUUGGUCAAAAUUUCAUUUCAUUCGGUUCAUUGAAUCCGGAGAUAUAACAGCUCAAAAUUGGCUAUCGGAUAAAUGUACCUUUUUCUUAGAAUCUUUAUAACUUCGUGAAGAAUUGUCCGAUCUUUUCCAAAUUUUGUCCACUGAUACAAAACUAGUUGAGGAACUUACAGUAAAAAUUUGAAAAUAUUUGAUGCACUUUUCGAAAAGUUACAGCUAGUGUAACAUUUUUUGAAAAGUGAAAAUUUUGCCUGUCCCGAUCAUUUUGUCUAUCCCCUGUAUAUGCAAUUUGCCGAUGGCCUCGAAGUGAAAAUUGAUAGAGUAAUUACCGAGCGUACUUGCCGGCCGCCCCGCAUAAUAAUCCAUUAGUCUGGUCAUCAAAGCGUAGCCAUCGAUAAUAGGAUUUGUUCGACGGGUUGUAACAAUCUCUUGGUAUAGACACUUUUUUCCCUCUAUGAUAGCACGGCACGCAUGUUAUGUUGACGUUCAGUGGCAGUGGAAUGGUGAAAUAUGAUGAUGAUCAAUGUUAUGCAGUGGGUUAGUAAAUUGCGAAACUUUUAUUUGAGGUGUUUGAAUAAAACGUGAAUUUGAAGAGUUACAAUUAAAAAAAAACAUUAAUGUAUAGAUAAUUACAUUUUCUAAGUCAUUCCAUCGAUAUUCCUUAAACAUUCUCCUGAGAUUUUUGACCUGUUUCCAAGGUAAGAUUUAUCAUAUUACUUACAUUUUCUUACACAACCUUUAGCGGAAGUUUAUUAUUAGCAAACUCUUAAAGACAAGCUCGUUAUAAUCCCAAGAUGGCUGCCAAAAUGACCUACUUUUGAACCUACUCACGAUUUUAAGCGCACAAAUCUCUGAAACACUACACCGAUGCACCGGAUCUGCUUAUUUUAAGCUUAUCUUGCAAGUGAGCAAAAACAAAAUUGCAUUGUAGUUGGAAGUUGACUUCUUGAGAUUUCUGCAUUUGAGGUGCUGAUGCUAUGUUGUACUGGGAUUCUAAGGCGUUUGUCCAUAUUAUCUUUGAGACAGAAGUUCUUCGGGGAUUUCAAUCGGCAUUUAACUCAGGCAUUUCUUCUUUUUUCCUCGCAGAUUUUUGAGGCAUCUCUUCUGGAAUCCUCCCGGGAUGUCGCUUGGAACUCUUUCCGGAAUGUCUACCAGCGCUUCUCGCUGCUUUUCCUCCAUAUUUACUCCCACAGCUGAUUUCGGGAUUUUACCCGGAUAUCCUUGCGACGGAGUUCCUUCCGGAAUUUCUCCUAAAGUUUCUCUUAGGUUUACCUCCGGAACUACUUGGAAAAAAAAAUGAAAGGAUUUCUUCCAGGAUGUGUACCGGAAUUCCAUUUGAUGGAAACCUUGAUUAUUUCAAGGGGGAAAGCAAAACGACUGUUUCAGGGGUGUACCAGGACGCUUCAGGGGAGUUUCCGAAAUUAUUCCAGGGCUUUGUGUAAUUCAUUCAGAAUCUCUCAGGGGUUUACUCCAUGUAUAUCUAGGAAUAUUAUUUGAUAUUUACAUAUUUUUUUAUGACGCAUCUCAAAUGAACCAAAUAUUUCAUUUGUCACUAUAAAUCUUAAAUGAUAAGUCAUUCGAUAAUAAUUAUUGCAGUGAUAGAGAUCCAGAGAAUCCAGUGGCGUCGCAUAACCUCACUUUUCACCUGUGCACCGACCCUAAAAUCUGCAAUUGCAGGGAAUUAAUGUUAAAAAUCGAAAUAGAAAUGAGUGAAAGCAGCUAUUUUCGUAAUUUUCUAGUUAUUAUAAGCAAAUUUGUUAAAAAAAAAUCAAGAAUUUUUACUUGGUGCACAGGUAGAUGUGAGGUUAGGGAAUCGCCACUGAGAGAAUCCUCUAUGAAUUCCGUAAAGGAGCUCACCAGACGUUCUUCUAGGAAUUUCUUAAGUGUUUUCUCCACAAAAUCUUCCAAAAAUCUUUUUACAAUUUCCGUUAGAGAUUCUACCAGCAAUUUCUCAAGGAAUCCCACCAGAGUUUCCUCUAAAAACUGCUCUGGAGAUUGUUCCUAGAAUUAUUCGAGAGAGGAGUAUCUCUAGAAAUUUCUCCGUGAAGAUCCCGAAAAAAUCUCUUGUGGAAUCUCUGGAAUCAUUCUUGGAAGAAUCUCAAGUUUCCUGAAGAAAACUGUGGACACUGAACAAAGGUUCUAAGGAAUCGCAGGAGAAAUCUCCGAGUUCCUGGAAGAAUCUGUGGAAAAAAUCUGCAGGAGCUUCUGCAUGAAUUCAUUAGGGAAACUACGAGGCAAAGUUUGGAAGAAAAUAUACGGGGAAUUUCUGCAGCAAUAUCUGGGGGAAUUAUUGCAAAAAUCUUCAAAGAAAUUUCAGGAGGUUUUCCGCAUGAAAUCAUAGAGAAAAUUUCGUAGCACCCAGAGGAAAUCCGGAAGGAAUUUUAAGGGAAUGUUUUGGGAAAAUGUAUCAAAAAACUUCUGGAGACAUAAAACUUCUAAGAAAAUCACUGGAGCAAACCCUGGUCGAAUCCGCGCAAGAAUCUCUUAAGUAAAUCCUGAAGGUUUCUUCAGGGGAAACUUUUGGGAGAAUCUUUGGACGAAUCCUUGGAUGAUUCUCUGAAGCGCAAAGAGAAAAUGUGGUGAAAUUCUUGGAAGAAUCUCUGGAUGCGUUCCCCAAAGAAUUUCUAAAGGACCUCCUGGAAGCAUCUCUGGACGAACUCCUGAAGGAUUCACCUAAUGAUAUCUUUAAAGGAGUUUCUGAAGAGAUAUCUGAAGGAAUGCCGGAUAAUCUUUGGAACAAUUCCUGGCAAAACAGAAUUCCUGGAAUCUCUAAUGGAAUCCAUUAGGGAAUCUGUAAAAUAAUUCGUAGAAGAAUCACUAUAGAAACGCCUGGUGUGGUCUGUGCAAGCAGUUCUAGAUGAAUCUUCGAAGGAAUUCAUGGAAUAAUACGUGGAGAAAUUCUUAGAGACAGCUCUGGAGUUUCUUAUUAAAUCUUUUAAGAAACUUCUAGAGGAUCUUCAGGUGAAAUUUUCAGAAUAAUUCCUACAGAAUCGCUUUAAGACAUUCCCAAUGGAAUCAAUCAAGCAUAGGCUACAGAAAUUUUUCAAGGAUUCUUUGGCAUAGUUUCUAAUGGAAUCCCUGGAAGAUUUUUGAUGAAAACUCUAGAGCAUUCCUGAAGAAAACUCUGAAACAUUUUUGGGCGAUAACUGGAAUAAACUCUGAAGGAAUUUUUUGAGCAUUAUUUGAAGGAAUCUAUGGAGGAAACCCUCAAGAAAUCUGUAAAGAAAGUACAUAAAUCACAAUCUUGUUUCGAGAACUCUCAAUUUUAUCAAACAAUCUCUGUCCCCCGACAUCGCCAUUAGGGGAUGCGUAUUAAUAUAUUCUUUGAAAAUCUUCUCAAGAAAGGCAUUCCUUUGUAUACAUUGCUCUAGAUUUUACUUCAGGAUUAUUUACCUUACGGUAGUUCCUGAGACAUUCCACUAAGAUUUUCUUCAACAAUUUGUGUUUGUACUGGAAGAUUAUUAUCAAGUACGUUUUUUUUUUGAAAAUAAUUAUUUAGAGCACUUCUUAGAGGCCGUUUGUGGACCUUUGGAUUACACCUAAAGCAUUAUCUUCUGGAAGUCUGCUCAGUAACUUUUGGGAAAAUAUAUCAGAAAGAAUCUUUGGUGCAAUAACAUUUGUUGAAAUUUUUUAAGACUCCCUUACACAAAUAAAUGCCUUGAUGGUGAAAAACAAAAACAUACAAAAACUUAUUUCUACUUCAUUUGCUGAAAAAUACUUAACAAACCAAUGUAACAAAUGGAUACCCAAGCAAAGGCGAAUAACAAAACGAUAUCACUUUGAAUUUGAAUAAACGGUAUUAGCGGUGUUAUCAUUUUGGAUAUCUAGGAGGAAUCCCUGGAGGAAUUCCUAGAGGAAUUUCUAGCGGAAUACGUUGAUAGAGGAAAUCCUCCAGGGACACCUCCAGAUGUUCCUCCAGGAAUUCCUCUGAGGAUUCGUACAGCAAUUCCUCCAAGAACUCCCACAGGGAUUACUCCGAGAAUUCCUCUAGGAUUUUUUCCAGAGAUUCCUUCAAGGAUUCCUCUAUAAAUUCCAUCAGAGAUCCCUCUCAGAAUUGCUUCAGAUUUUAAGAUUUUUCUCCAGGAAUUCCUUGAGGAAUUCAUCCAAGUAUUCCUCCAGGAAUUUCUCUAAAGAAUCAUCCAGAGCUGUAGAAACCCAUAGACGAAUUUUUGGAGGAAUCUCUGAGAGAAUCCCUAAAUCAAUUCCUGGAAGAAUCCGACGAGGAAUCCCUUUAGGAAUCCUUGAAGAAGUUCCUGGAGGAAUCGUUGAAGAAAUUUCUGGUGAAAUAAUUGUAGGGAUCCCUGGAAGUAUUUCUGGAGAAAUCUGAAACAAUCUCUGAAGUAAUUCCUGGAGGAAUUCCUCGAUGAAUCCCUGAUUCCUGGAAGAAUCUGUGGAGGAGUAGCUGAAUUUUUGGAGGAAUCUCUGCAAGAAUCCCUGGAGGAAUCCCUAAAGGAAUUCCUGGAGGACUUUUUAGAAGAAUUCCUGGAGGAAUCUCUUUAGAAGUUCUUGGGGAAUUCCUGUAAUAUCUCUGGAGGAAUCUUUGAGUGCACUACUUGACGAAUACCUGGUGGAAUCCCCAGAGGCACUUCUGAAAAAAAUUCUGGAGGAAUUUCAAGAGGAAUUCCGGGAGGACUAUCUGAUAGAAUCUCUGUAGGAAUUCUUGGAGUAAUUUCUGCAGGAAUCUCUAAGGGAAUUAUUGAAAGAAUUUCUGGAUUAUUCCUGGAAAAAUCUCUGGAAGAAUUCCUGGGUGAAUCCCCGAAGGAGCUCCUGGAAGAAUCCCUAGAAGCAUUCCUGGAUGAAUUCCUGCGGAAACUCUAGAAGUUAUUCCUGGAGCAAUCCCCGUAGAAAGUUUUGGAUGAAUUUUUGGGGAAUUCUAAGAGGAAUUCCUGUAGGAAUUCUGAAGGAAUCUCUGGGAAAAUUCCUUGAGGAAUUGCUGAAGGAACUCUUAGAGGAAUCCUUGGAGGAAUUCGUAGUGUAACUUCUGGAAGAACUCCUAUAGGAAGUUAUGGAAGAAUCUCUGGGGGAAUGAGAGGGAUUCUGCAGGAACUCCACUUGCUUUAGAAUUUUUUUUUGAGGAAUUUCCAGGAAAUUCUUAAAAGAAUCACAAUCACUGGAGGAAUUCCUGGAGCAAUCUCGGCAGGAAUUUCUGGAGGAAUCCUGGAGGAAUUCUUUGAAGAAUAAUUCCUUAAGGAAUAUGUGGUGGAAUUCCUGGAGCAAUUCCUGGGACAAUUUCUAGAGAAAUUGGAGCAAUUCUGAGAGGGAUUUCUGGAGGAAUCUUUGGAGGAAUUCAUGAAGGAAUUCCUUGAGGAAGGCCUGGAGGAAAUUUUUAAUGCCAAAUGUGUAACUUUUUCUUAAUGCAGAAGGAAGGCUAAUUGCAAUUUCCUUCCGCAUAUCGGAUAAAUUGCCCCUAGAAACCCCAUGUUCUUGACAUCUUCCAAUACCAAAUAUCUGGUUCUUACCGAAAAUAUAACGAAAGUAAAAGUUUUUGGUCCAAUGGAACAAAAAAGUUGCAAUUAGUAAUUUAUCAUCAGUCUCAAAUGUCGUGCACGUGAUCUCCCGAAAGCAAGAUUGAUUUCAUAUCACAUUUGCUACCCUUUCUUCUGGGAAGAUAAUACUGGACAUUUACACAGCAUAACAGUCGUUAAUCAACUGCAUCAUUGAUUAUCACCCACCACAUGCCUUCAUUAGCACAUCCAUCUCAGAACCUAGCUUAGUUCACAUAUCACAUCUCUCUGACGGACGACCAACAACGUUUAGUCCGGUGAAGAUAUUUCACUCAAGUGUUUCUUCGUUUGUUGAAAGCAGUUAUAGGUCACGCUCUGGGUAAACAGUUCGCGCUCAAAUCGAAUUAGCGAUCGAAAGCUAGAAAAGAAAAUUGGAAAUUAAGCUCUAUAGCAGAGCUGGGAGUCGCAGUUUGUUUGCAGUUGUCAUUUUAAGGUGAAAAUCGUCGGGACACGCGGUGGCGAAGUGCUGCUCUAUUUGACGCCGGUGCACUGUGCACUACAUUCAGAUUUGUUGACCGGCGUUUUUUUGUUGUUUUGUUGAUGCGCUUCAGUGAGUUUUUCCCACAUACACAACACCACGUGCUGUUAGAGUGGGCGGAGAAGGUGGACUGCUGAGUGCAGCCCACUACCUACAGCACUAAACGGUGUUUUGUGGUAGAACAAUGCCAACGACGGAAAUUGCCUAACUCGCAGUAGUGGCAAUCCAUAGAGCACGGAGACCUAGGUAUUCAGUGAAAGUUGUUUGCAGUAGAUUACAUCUAUACGUUGUAGGUGGUGAUUCUGCGAAUGAUUCAUGUGGAGAGUGAGAAAGGGAAAUUCCUACGUCAACGGAACAAAUGAAUGGGAACACGGAGUUUUCGUGUUGCAAAAUGAAAACAAACGACAGCUGUUCGCAAAGGUAGGUUUCAAUAGAUGGCAUUGUAUUCAGAAGCUCGCUUUGAUUGGACAAGUACGGAAGUUUUUAAAAUGCAGGUCAACGUUUAGGUAAACGUUGUUUCGUGAAAAAUGUCGAAAGAAGGAACACCUUAUCAAAGAAAAAUUUCAGAUGCGUGAAAAAUGGAAAGCUCUCACCAAAUUUCGGCACUGGAACUGUUUAGUCUUCUUCCUGACUUCACAUGAGCCAGAGUCUGUUCCAAAGCUUUGUUUUGUGGGCGAUAACUGUAGAAUAGGCUGCGGCUUAUUUUUCAAAAGUUGUUGAAACCUGGAAUUCGUAAGCUCUUUUGGAUUCAAAUGAUACAAAAAGAGAAACCUCUGAGCUUAAGCCAAAAAUUUUGAGAUUUAGGGCCGAUUUCUUCACCCUGGCUUAGGCGUUAAGCCAGGUUUAACUAUAUGGGUAAGCCUGGCUUACGCGUUAAGCCGAGGUGAAGAAAUCGGCCCUUAGAGGUCGCGCAAUCGCUUCAAAGUUAAAUUUUCGAGUAAUAAAAAAGUGUUUUCACGUCAAGCGCCAUAACUUUCUCAAUUUUUCAACCGAUUUUUAAUCUUUUUUUUAUGAAUUUCUCACAAAUUAAAUUUUCAAUAAACUCGUAGAACAUCAUUUUUUUCCAAAAUCACGCAAAAUAUGAGUUUUUGAAGAUUUAAUUCAUUUUUUCCUUCCUUUCACAAAAAUUUUUAACUUUAGAGUCCUAUAACUUUUUAACCGUUUGACCAAUUUUAUUUUUGUUGCCUAUCUUUGUUCUAAACAAACUUUUCAUCAAAGUAGUCAUUUUUAUGAUACUUUUCACCAAAAACUGCCAAAACAUGCCUUAAAACUUGAUAUUUUCAUGCAAAAUUGGAGUUUUUGACGAUUAUUUGCAAUUUUCUACUCCAAACCAGAUACUUAUUAUCAUAUUGGAGAAUUUUUUUUUCAAAUUUUUUUUCUCGCAUUUCGAACAUGAAAAAAAAUUUUUGAUUCAGAACACUCCAAAAACUGAAGUUUAAGGCUUCCAUAUGAUUAUUGAGAAUAGUUUUUUCACUUUGAGCCCGAAACUAAGCAUGAAAACUAUUAAAAUUUUGCUAAAAAUCUAAUUUUUCCAAUGAAAUUCGUGUUUCUUAGGCUACAAAAAUAUCUACAAAAGCAAGCUAAAAAAUUUAAAAUUGGUCAAACGGUUAAAAAGUUAUAGGACUCUAAAGUUAAAAUUUUUUGUAAAAAGAAGAAAAAAAAUGAAUUAAAUCUUCAAAAACUCAUAUUUUGAGUGAUUUUGGAAAAAAUGAUAUUCUACGAGUUUAUUGAAGAUUCAAUUUGUGAGAAAUUCAUAAAAAAAUAUUGAAAAUCGGUUGAAAAUUGAGAAAGUUAUGGCACUUGAAGUGAAAACACCUUUUUAUUACUCAAAAAUUCGACUUUGAAGCGAUUGCGCGACCUCUAAAUCUCAAAAUUUUUGGCCUAAACUCAGAGGUUUCUCUUUUUGUGCCAUUUGAAUCCAAAAGAGCUUACGAAUUCCAGGUUUCAACAACUUUUGAAAAAUAAGCCGCAGCCUACUGUAGAAGUUAUCGACUGAAUGCAUUAUUGACAAAUUGACCGACUCUAUGCGACUAUAGAUAAGAUUGAGUGCUAAAAUUGUCAUUUCGAUACACAUAGAUUCAAACACCUACAGCUCAUUUCAGGUAAUACUAGUCCUACAAAAAGUCACAAAAAACCCGCUUAAACUCCAAUAUAUAAGGUAAAUGUUACACAAGUUUACAAAAUAAAACGAAAGUCGUGAACUUCUAUCAACGACCAAAAUUUUUGAAGCACAAUUUAGUGCUGAUUUCGAAACCGACCUUCAAAAAAUUUAAAGUAGAACAGUUUUUAAGUUUUAGCUCAAUAUCGAGUUUUGUAACUUUUCAAAAUAUGUAAUUUACUAAAAUUCAAAUAUAUUGCGUUUUGUUCAACGAAUUUUAAAUCUUUUUCCAUAAAUUGAAAGCUGAAUACAACACCAUUCGAUCAUCUGAAUACAGGUUUUGCGUCAGAUUGAUGAAAUUCAAGAUAUUGGCGAGUUUUAGGGACGAUCUUCUUAAAUUUUAGCAAAAUUCCCAAUAUUUUUUGAAGAAAUGUAUUUUUUUCAAUAAGAAAAAAACAACCUAAAAAUUCUUUCUCGACGUUUAUUUGACAUAUCAUAUGUAGGCGAGUUACAGUAAAAAUUUCAGCUUAUUCGGAGCAUUGGUUACGGAGAAUGAGAUAUUUGAAGUGAGCGACUUUGCUUAAAAAUAGAACAAAAAUCGAUUUCAAAUCACCAACCUUGUAUGGAAAGUCGAAAAAAUUUCCGCUCUACUGUAAUUUUUUUCCUUCGCGUUUUCGAACUCAGGGCAUGAUUCUACACCAAAAAUGAUCAUCAGCUUACCGAGUUCAAAAAUGCUGUAAACUAGUGUUAUCGACUACCUUUGAAAAAUUCUAAUUGAUAUUCAUCAUGAAUAUCUGUUGGCAUUUUUCGAAGAUAGUCGAUGAUAUUGAUUGACCUUAAAUAUUAAAGUAAGAGCACAAGUUUUUCAUGUACCUUCCGUAUUUUCAAAUUCAGCUUCUGAAAUGAGCUGUAGGUAAUCGAAUUUCCUCCAAGAAUAACUUAAAAAAAAUCACUCCACAUUUUCCACUGAUAAUUUGACUAGAAGUUGCACUAAAAGUUCUUCCAAGAGUACGUUUGGAUUUCCUUCGGUAAUUCCUUCAGUAUUUAUCUUGGAAAUUCUUCUGGUUAAUCUUUUGGGAUUGUUUGUCAAAUCUUUGCGGUAAUUUCUAGGAGAAUUGUUUCGGCAAUUCUAUUGGAUAUUCUUUUGAGAUUUUUUUGCGGCAAUUAUUUUAAGAACAAUUUUGUCAAUGUCGACAAUUAUUUCAACAAUUUCUUUAGGAAUUUCUUCAGCAUCUUUUUUGACUAUCCUUCUGUUAUUUUCUAUGGAUAGAACUCCUGGAAUUUAUUCAGCAAUUCCCUUGACACCUGAUCCUUUCGAAACAGCUUUGAGAAUUUAUUUUACGAUUUUAUUGGAAAAGUGGAGUAUUCAAAUAAUUUCAUUAGAACUUCCUCCGAGAAUUUAUUCUGGAGUUCCGCCGAGAUCUCCUGCAAGGGUUUGCCAUGAAUUGCUUGAGAAGUUUUUCUUGAAAUUACUUAAAAACUUCCUUCCAGACAUACCUUAUGAAGUUUAUCCGGGUAUUUCUUCAAGAGGAACGCUGGAAAUUCUUACAUUAGUUUUUUUUUUCAAGAAUACCCCUCUAGAUUCCUCCGGAAGCUUCUCAACGAAUUCCUUUAAGAUUUCGUUCACAAAUUGCUUUAGAAGUUUCUCCAGGAAAUUCCUCCAAGAGGCCCUUUUUGAAUAACUUCUAGUUUUUCUUUGUGAGUUUUUCAGGAAUUUCGGAAGUUCGUCUGGGAAUGAGUAUUCCUUCUAGAGUUUCUCGUGAAAAUUAUUCAAGAAUUCUUCAGUAGUUCCUACGAGAAGUUCAUCCUGUAUUCCUACGAAAAGAAUUCUCGGUCGUCCGGCCAUUUCUUUAAGAAUUUCUCCGAAGGCUUCUCCAAAACUUCUCCAGGAUUUUCUUCGAAUUUUCUUUCUAUAGAUUCUUGAUGUGCUUCUUCUGAGAUUUUCUUAAAGAGUUUCCCAAGAAUCCUUUCGAUGUUUUUCUGUUAGUUUUUACAACAGUUUCAUUGGGAAUUACUUGAAGGGCUCGGAAAUUCCCACACAGUUUUCUCAAAAAUUCCUCCUAGAGCGUCUCAUAGGGAUCGUUCAGAAAAUACAACAGUCUGUAUCAGGUUUUCAAACACAGUUUGAAUAAUCUUCGGUUUCCUUAGAAAAACCUGAGAUUCGUUCGUUGAAAGUUACACUUGGAGCUUUUGGAAGGAGUUCCUAAAGUUUUUAUCAGCAAACCGUCGGGAAUAUUUUUAGCGAUUCCAUCUAGAGUUGCAUCCAGAACUAAUUCAGAAGGGUUUACAUAAAAAAGCAGCGAUUCUUGGAUAAAUAGUGAAACUCGUAUUAUUUUCGACAGCUUUGCUCUCUUAUUCACGAGAUGUUUUCUAAAACCUGUUGAAUACAACGUUUGCCUCAAAACUUUUUCUAUCAAGCUUGCCAGGAAUUCCUCUAGUUCCUGGGAAUUAUACAGCCAAGCUACUGGAAAUUUGGCUGACAGAAACCUCUCAUGACGAAAAAAAAAAACAAAACUGUCAAAAACAUCCAAAAUGUUCAAGGAAUUUUUACAUUAUUUUACCGGUAAUAUGUAUUCCAUGGUGUAUGUAAAUCCAUCCAAAAUUCACUCAAGGAUUGUUCAGAGCAAAUGUUCAUGAGGAAGUCUUUCAAGAAUUUCUUCAUACUUCAAUGAGUUUUCCCAAAAAUACCAGUAGAUUUCUUCUAAUGAUAUUCACGAAAGAUUCCUACUGCAAGAAAUUAUCUAAAAUUCUUUUGUUAUUUCAGGAACGUUGACCAUCUCAACAAAAUUUGUAAAAAAAUACUCACGAGAGCUUUCUGAGUAUUUUCCUCGUUAUAGUAGAAAUUUUAAAACGAGCCACCUGGUAAAAAAUCAGAAGGAAUCUUAGUUGAAAAUACUGGAGGAAUCUCACAAGUACUUCUGGAUGAAUCCCAAGUGGAUUUUCAUGAUGGAUUCACGACAAGCUUUUGCUAGAAUUCUCAAAAGUAGUACUAAAACAAUUCCUGCAAGAAUUUUUAAAUGAUUUUCUCGAAAAAUUCCCGCAACUUUUGGAGAAAAUGCCGGAGGAAGUUAACUCCCUGGAAAAAUUUCUGAAGAAUUCCUGAAAAAAAUUGUGGAAGAAUUCCUGGAAAAUAUUUCUAAAGGGUCUUUUUUAUUUUUGUUUUUUUAUUCUUAAUCACUUAACCUAAUUUACAGCUCUAUUGUCCACUGGGGCACUACGUGAGCAAUUUCAAUUGACAGCUGCACUUACAGUUUGAACAGCGCCUAGAUUCUAUUCUACUUUUAUCGAACUGGUUGCCUUUCUGCUGCUUUCACUUUUUUCUACUUUAUACCUAGUAGAAUGAUGAACACAAGGAUGAUGAUGGAUGGCCGUUAUUCCUUUCCAGUCCGAUUGGGGGUCCAUUAUGAGUAGCAGUUCGUCGAUGUCCAGGUAUCCGGGUCCGUUUGAGCCAUGGGGCUCAGAAGAGGGUCAGUGCCAGUUGCUCUCGGGGGAAAAGCAACUGACGAAAAAUUGCAAGUGCCGGGGCUGGGAAUCAAAAAAGGCCCAAGUAACCAUGACGCUGCAUAUAGAGCAUUAAUUUCGCUUUAUAGUGUAUUAUAUGACAUGCGAUGUAAAGUUGUUUUGUCAUAUAGGUACCAUUAAAGUAGGUUUAAAAUCGAAAGUGGCGCUACUAUUGUUGAUUUGAAGCAAGCUUUACUGUGGUGAUUGCUAAAGCAUAAAAAAUGCUUGUACCAUAUAGCUAAUGCAAUGAAAUAGUAUGGAAUGUAUACUUAAGGCAUCAUGUCAACAAAAGAAAAAAAGUAUUUUUUCAUUUUUCGGUCUAUUUUUAUCUUCUCAUACCUGUUCCGAUACUCUCACUCUGAUGUUUUUUAUUCUAAUUCGGGAAUUGAACCUAGACUGCUGAAACUGGACUGCGAUGAAACUCGGACGCGCUAACGCUGUGCUACGACUACCAUGCAUUUCGCACCCGGAAAAAUGUGCAACAUAAAGUAACGUAUACUCAGCUCGUGCUUUAUUGAUUUGUGUUUUCAGCAGCUCUAAGAAAUUGUGCUAGGGUCUGAAUCAGUUAUCUUACUCUCCCAAAUUCAUUCGAAAACAAGCGAUUGUAGAACAAAUUGAUUCCACAAACGAAGAUAAUAUAAAGAUAUAAAUUCUGCUCUUAUUGUUUUCAUACGUGCUCACUUCUACCAUUUAUUUUAUGAAAUCGGAGCACUAUAUGUUAGUUAAGGAAACCAAUACCUCAACCCCACAUAAUUUUUGUUCCCUCAGCAUCUGAUUGUCCUUAUGUCCCAACCAGAAUAAAAAACAACAUACACAAUAUAAAUUUUCAGCAACAUCUGAGCAUGAUAAUCCAAGUUCUACGCAGCAAUCCAUGAAAAUUUGGGUUUGUUUUUCUUUUCUUUUUAAAUGGUUGUGUUGUUUUUAAAAAGGUUGUACAGAUUUUUUUUCGAACUGAUGUUUUUUUCUGUUUACAACUAUGAAAGCAUUAGUAAAGGCAUAUAUAAAGUAAUAAAUCCUUGCAUUAUUGAUUGCCAUAAAGCUUUUAACAUGGUAAUGCAAUGAAGCAUUAAACAACGUCCCUAUAGAACUAUACCGAACUGUCAAAAUCUCAUAAUGCUUCAAUGCUUUCAUAAUGUAGAUUAAUCGCUUUAUUACUUGACAGGUGUAGAAUAAAAGUUAUCUCGCAUUAGCUAAACUAUAAUACGAUUGAAUUAAUGUUACGAUAUAAUGCUUGUGGUUACUUGGGGGGUCUUUUGAAGAUUUUCUGGAGGAACUGUUGGAAAAAUUCCUGCAGAAAAUUUCGAAUGAAUUUAUGUAAGUAGUUCCGAAACAAUUCCUGGAGAAACUACUGUAAGAAUUCCCAGAGAAUCUUCCGCGAGAGUUUACAAUUAAACCUUGGGGAAAACAUCCCCAAACUUUCAUAAAAAUUUCCAAAGGAAUUCAAACAAUAAUCUUCGGAUGAAUUUCUGGAAGGACUCACGUAGGAACUUAUGCAAACUCCUAGAGAACUCUUUGGGAAACAUCUGAAAAAAAAAAACUCACAACAGAACUUUCGGCAGAAUUUCUGGAGUAGACGAUUUUUUGGAAGAAUUUUCAGCGAAAUUUCUAAAAGAACUUCUGCUGUAAAAAUUUCGAAAGGAGCUUGUGAAAGAGGUUGCAAAGUAACUUGUUCGAAAGUUCUCAGAGCAACUUCUAGAACUCCCGUAGGAACAUUUGGAAGGGUCCCCGAAACAAAUUCCGGCAAAAUUUCCACUGGCAUGUCCUGAAUAAUUUCCAGUGGAGCUUCUACUGGAAUUUUUGGAUGAAUUCCAAGAAGUAUUUCCGGAAGAAUUUCUAAAGGAAUUCUAGUGAAACUCGUGAGAAAAUUUAAGGAGGAAGUGGGUUUCCUUGAGGAAUUUCCGAGAAGCAAGAAUUGUCAGAAAAAGUACUGGAGGAACUCCUGCAAGGAUUCAAAAGGAUUUUUUACAGAAAAAUCCCGAAGCAACUUUUGAAGGAAAUACCGAAUGAUUUUUUAAAUAAAAAAAAUCGAGAGGAGUUUCCAGAUGAAAUUCCCGGAGAUAUCCCGGAGGAAUUUCAGGAGGAAUUCAAGAGUUUCCAGAUGUUUUUGUACAAGAGUUAGCGGAGCAACUUUCGAAAGACUUUCCUGAAAAACUCAAUGAGGAAUUCCCGGAAAACAUUUCUAAAGGGUCCUUUGAAAAUUUUCUAGAGGAAUUCAGGAGCAAUUCCUAUGGAAACUUUCGAAUGGAGUUCUGAAGGUACGUCCGUAAGAAUUCUUAAAGAACCUUACGUGAGAACUUACAAAGAAACUUUGAGAAGAUUUCCGGAGUAACUUCCUGAAGAAUCUCCGAAGAAAUAUUGGAAGAAUCAUUAGAGGUAUUUCUGGAAGAGUUUCAGGAAUUAUUCGCGAAAAAAAUAUCUUAAAAAAACUCACAGUACAACUUCCAGAGUAACUUCCGAACGAAUGCCUGAAUUAGAAGUACAUGAUGAAUUUACGGAAAACUCUCAAUGUAGCUUAAAAAAAUCUGGAAGAAUUUUCUAAGCAACUUUUGAAAAAGAUUACAAAUGAACUUCUACAAAAGAGCCCAAAGGAAUUUAGGCUUAGCUUAGACUGACUGCACAUAUCUAUGGUUGCUACUCCGUGUUUGACCCGAACCAAUGACAGUUGUACAAUGAAUCAACUGAAUAAUUGACUGGGUGUGGUCAACAUUCUUAUUGUGCACGCUUCAGAGGUUCUCUUUAAAGGUACAAUAAUGGCGCCAGCCACGUCCUUGCAGUCAGGUUGGGAGAGGGAAGGAAUGUUAGUAACAACCUUUGUUAUGUGAAAGUUGGCGUUACCGCACGUCUCCACUAAAAGCUGCAGGAAGGAGUUCUUGUUCGUAGGGAAGGUAUCGUUGGGUCAAGAUUCACUUUGAUAAGUAAUAUUACCUUACUACAAAAGUGCUCAAAGGACUUUUCAGAUAAACUCCCGCAAGAAUAUCCGCUGGAAUGUCUUGAAGAAAUUCCCGAAAGAACUCCUAGAAGAAUACUCAGUGAAAUUUAUGAAGAAAAUUCCCAGAACUUUGGAAGCAUUCCCAAUGGAAACUGUGAAGGAAUUCGAUUUAUUUCAGAGGACAUAUUCUUCCACUUUCAAAAAUAGUUGACGAAACAAGCGUAAUUUAAAAAUCCGAUCAAACACCGGUGGACCUGAGUGGAAUGGGGUCUAUUUUUGACGUUCUAUAUUUUUAGAACUCUUAUAUAUUUGGACUAAAAGAAUGGAUCACCGCUGAAAACGAUCUGUAUAGGUAGAAAUAAGAAUAAAUACUAUUUUUGCAUGAAAAUAGUGCCUUUAUCGUGUACUUUAUACUUAUUCAAAUUCUAGAAGUUGUGUGGUUCUAGAAGUUGUGUGGUAAUGCCUGUUUUCAGAUGAGUGUUCUAUACGCACUUCCACAGUUAUUAACUGAGAGAUUUCUCUGCCACCUGACUAUGACCAUUUUGCAUGUGUAUCGUGAGGCAAGUACGAAGAUACUCUAUUCCCAAGUAAGUUAAGGAAUUUUCCUUACGACAAGUUCCUGGACCGACUGGGAAUCGAACCCGUCACCCUCAGCAUGGUCUUGCUGAAUAUCCACGCGUUUACCGCUUCUACUAUAUGCCUCCCUAUAUAAUAGUAUUACUUCAUCGAGAACCAACAUGAAGUUGCUAUGUUGCCCGAUUGUGGUCAACAUCCAUUAAAUUAUGUAAGCUUCAUGUAAUCCGGUCAGUCAGGAGCACAGAUACACUCAUAAACGGGCAGUCAAAAUAUUUAGGAGCGGUUUAUGACGUCGCACUCUGCACUGAUGAAUGAGAGUUUGGUGUCACCAUGUGUUGUGCUGAGCUUUGCAAACGUUCCGUGAAAGUGAAAGGAACCGCCCUACCAUCACCAUUCGGAGGUUGAAAGCACGACUUUUACGUCUAUUGCUGCAGGGCUGCCAUAAACUAAACCCAGCCCGAGCCCACAUGGUGGUAGUGAUCUUGAAAGCAUUGUGUGUUUGAGAUCACUGGUUACGAAUUAAUGGUACGCAGACACAGCAACAGCACGCUAUGUGACCAAAAUCAAAAGUGCUUCAUUAGCGUUUCGGCUGCUGCUGAUUCGUGGUAUUUAUUUUAUCGCAAAAUAAUUGCACUUUACGGCUGGCUGGCCGAAUGAAGAAGGAAAGCAAACUUCUAAAAAUGCGAACACUGCUACCCCCGGUUGGUCAUUGAUAUGGGUUUGAAUUUAAAUGUUGUAUCAGAUCGUUUAUCUUAUGGUGAUUAUUCAGAUACCGAGCAUCGCCCGGGCAGUGACUCAAUAGAUUCCUACGUGCAAGUGAACAAGCAAACACCGUUUGGAUUGUACUCUGAAUUCGACAUAUUUACGAUUUCACAUUCGUACGAUAAGUUCAUGUUAUAAUUCUCUGCAUAGAUUUUAUGGUUAUCAUUAAAACCGGUUAGAGAAAUGAAAAAAUACUACUAUGACACAAUUAAGUUUCAGAAUAUAUUACUCCUAAACAAUCUAAUUUUAAGUUCGUGUUAUGUAUUUUAUAUUAUAAUACUUGUAAUAAAUUACUACCGUCGAUGGGGGUGACAAUGGGUCUGGGGGGUGAGAUUGGGUCAAAACGAAGAAACAUAAAAUUUAAAAUAGCUCAUCAACUAUGGCUAAUCUAUAUUGAAAACUUUAUAUUAUUUUAAAGAGGAGAUGUUUUUACACGUCAUGAUGCAGAAUAAGAUGUUUAGCAAUAAUCGUUUUUUGUUCAAAUUGUGUCUAAACUUAUAUGAUGAAACUACUAGUAAAUCACUCUGAAAAAAUUUCUCCUUCGCAAUGUUUCACACAAGCACCUUACCAUAAAUUUUCUUAUAACUAGUUAGCUGUAGGUAUUACCUGGUUGAUGCAACGAAAAAAGUAAGCUGUCAAUGCACUUUUUAUACAAAAAUUCAAUAUUUUCGACCCUAUGUCUAAAUAUUAAAAAUGGGGGUGAGAUUGGGUCAAGUAAGUUAUCGAGUGCACAAAACCUUAACUAAAAAUUCAACUUGUUAUUCAGUCCCCAUUUGAUGUUAGAGUGGUGCCAUGUUUACCGUAUCUUCAUAAAAGUACGCUUUUUUUUUUCGAAAAUAUGUCGCAGAAGUGUCAAGCGAGUGUGUUCAUACGUUUAGUGCCUAAAAUCAUUUAUAACAAUAAACAUGGACAUGGACAGCUCCUCUAAUCAUCAUCUAACGUUUAGUGUACUGAAAUAUCGUAAGCUCACAAAAUAGACUUAAAAACGUUCUUCUUCUUCACUCAUUUUUGAAAUUUUAAGGAAAUAUCCUGAAACUACCAGACAGUAAUGGGAUUUAGGAAAUACAGGGGCUAUAAAACCGGUAACAUAGUACAAUGUCGGAAAGGGAAUGAACGUCGAAUUUUGGUUUGGUUAAACAUUUCUCAUGCAAUCUUUCAAUGCGUCCCUCCCUCAUUGUAAUCCCCCCUCCUCUCUUGGAGGUUGAAACUUUAAAUGAGAAUGAUUAUGGUGGCUUAAAAUGGCGACACAACAUACAAGCGUUAUUUUAUCAAAUUUCAAGAAAUUUUUCGGUUGUAUUAGCCCUUUUAGGUGGAUUUAUCAUCUUUUAAAAUUACCUAAGUUUUUAUUCGUCACGGUUACAUUGUAUUUCAAAUAGAUUUACUAGAUGUGAUCAAUAAAAUUAACUUAUAUUUUUAGAUAGGUGACUUUGAAUAUUUUGACCCAUUCUCACCCCCUCUAAGUGGUGAGAUUGGGUCAAUUUUCAAUCAUUUGUAGUUAAGUAAGUAAUUCAUAUAAUGUGAUACUUUUUUGCUAAACUAUGAUUACCACAUAGAAGAGUAUGUGUACCAAAUAAAAAGUUAUAUCGACUUCAAUUGCAUUUGUUAUUUAACAAACAAUUUUUGAGUAUCCUGUUUUGACCCAUUCUCACCCCCAACGACGGUACUGAAAAUGACGUCCUCAGUACGUGAAAUUGAACACUUGUGUAGUUAUUACACUAAGGUCUUUUUUUACACGGGUAGUUUUUCUGCUUUAACUCGGUCAAUUUUGAACUUACCUAUCUGAUUUUCCGUACACAGGUAGUACUAACCGUGUCUACCUAUGUACAAAUUUUCAUGUGAAUUGGCUCAAAAUUGACCGAGUUAAGGCAGAAAAACUACCCGUGUAAAAAAAGAUCUUAGUAUAGUUAUAAUAAAAUAAUUUGGCAGUAUUAAAACUUGCAAAAUCCAUUCAUAAUACAAUCAUAUUUAUUAGUUGAAACUAAGUUGAUUUCAUGUAAUGUAACUUGGAGACUACACUUAUAUUACAUACCAUAUGCAGAUGUUGAGAUUACGCUCAUUUUAAGUGAUAUAACUAACUUUCAUAACCAAUUAUGAAAAAAAAAAACAAAUGUCAAGCAAAAACCUGUCAGAAAAAAAUAAACAGCUUGUUUUUAUUGAUAUACAUUUUUUUAGCCUGAAUUUUUAUCGAUGGCUUCGAUGGCAUUUCAAAACUAAUCAGAUAACUUAUUCAGAAAUGGGUGUUACUCAGUAAUGACAGUGAUGUUUUGCAUGCGAUUAAAAAUUUAUCGUGAAACCACCGUUUUUACUCACCCAUAAAUUCAGCGCCUGUGAUUUGAAUUGAUAACGCCACUUAUAUCAACCAAAUAAUACCUCUUUGUGAGGAUGGAUUGUAAACCUUCCUGAAAAAGCAAUAUGGCAGCUGAUCUGAAAUAGUUACAGUACCGUUCAAAGUGUUAUAAACUGUUCUAAUCACAAUUUUAAUUUGAUGUGCUACCCAAGUUGAGAAGAUAAUUACUAAUAUUGCCUUCAAUAAAAUUCCAUUAUUCCAUUAUUAACAUUAAGUUUGCACAUCCUGUUUUAACGCAAUAGCUGCGUCCGCCUUAAAUCAAAACCGUGUUAAUGUUUGUGAACGGUACUGUAACGUGAAUAAUUUUACUGAAGGAUUUAUCUAUGUCAUUAUACUUUAAUUAGAAAUUAAGUUGAAAUAACGUUCAAAAUGCGUUAUGACAGCAAUCCAUCGAAAAAUUGUAGUUGUGCGUUACAUGUACAUUUAUAAUAUGUCUAAAAAACAUUUCUACAACAUACGCACAUAAAAAUACGAACUUUUGAUUUGGGACCAUCAUUACUAUAACUAUACAUUACUAUACAUACAUUAUCUAUACUAUAACUUAUUCUUUGGUGAGGCUAGGUCUGUCAAAUGUCAAAGAAUUAUUGUUAAGAAUUGUGUUGUUUACUUUUUUGUCAAAAAUUUCGUCGGUUUUUUUUUAAAUAGUUUUUGUGGGCUUUCUUGUACAUGUUACAUGAUCGGUGACGAUUUUCUUGAACAACGCUUUCGGAAUAAUCAAAGAAUACUUCACAAAUGAAUGCAAAGUAAGAUAAACGGUAAGUGAAAUGGGUUAGCAUCAUAUGGACGCCCAGAAUGGAGAUAGAGCAGCUGGAUGCUGACGAAUUUACGGAAUUCGGUGGAUGUAGAUGUGCACUACAGGGCGAUGUCACUGCCAGUUCUUCAUUUGGUGUCAUUUCAAGGGAAAACAAUAUCAAUAUUUAUCACAUUCGAAGCCAAAUAGUUUACUGUGGUGCGAUGGUUUCAUGAUGAUGCGGAUGAAUAGCACUGUCUUUCUGGUCUUUUGGAACAGCGAGCUGAGCGUACCGAAAGUUGUGUUUGUUGAAUGUCAGAAGAGAAACUUGUUGUUUUGUAUUUUGAUGUUCUAAUAAUGUUAUAUUAUAGUAUGAUUAUCACAUGUUAUAACAUGAUGAAACUGAUGAGCGAAGAACAUUUAUUUUGUAUUGUUUGUAAAUCAUAAACAUAAUUAGAGCUUAAAAAUAACACAAGAUGUAUUCUAAAACUCAUUUAUGACAUUUAAAAAACAUCUUAAGUAGCGUUGAUUUUAAAAGAUGUUUUCUGUGUUACUUGGGAUAUCACCUUUUUAACACUUUAAUGCGCCUCCAACGGUUCAUCACGAACCGGCUGCUGCAGAUGGAGUAUGGAUGAUCAUAUGCGUCAGACAUGCUCGAUAAACACGGAGGAACCGCCGGGGCUCAUUAGAGUCUAUUCCCAAGCAAUAGUUCUAAGUCGGUUGGAUUUGAGAUGGUUUUGAUGAUCGUUACAAAUCCUAAUAAAAGUAAAAGGUAAAAGGUUUUGGAACCUUUUACAGCCAGCUGACUUCAAAAUGUUGUUUGGGCUCUAUUUCCCACGUUUCUCGGUUGAGUUUGAUUAGUAAUUUAUUAAUGUCAUAGUCGCUUUUUAGAAUUUUUAUGUUAGUUGGUCAUAUUUUCUUUAAAUAAAGCAAUUAAAAUCGACCGAAGAAUUAAUGGGAAGGAGAUUUGCAACACUUAAUUGUGCUGAUAGAUUCGAAGCUAACGUGCGAACACUUAAACGCAUUAUUGACGUCAAUGCGUUCGACGUGACAUUUUGGACAAAAACUGAUUGCUUUUUAUUAACUGAACAACGUUACUUGUGUAUGACUAGGUUGACAUUUCUAGGCUACGCUUGAGAAAAUUACAUGCUUUAUCUAGGUAGGAGCGAUAGGACACUUGAACGAAUUUGUAUAUUUUUCAUAGUAUUUGUAGGGAGAUGAAUACAUAAUAGUUGACAAGCAAUCUUUAUUAUUUUAAAAUUUUAUUGCAAACAACUGACUGGCGUAUUUUUGUUUAUCUCUGAGAUGGUAUUAUGACACCAACAGAAAUUCAGUUGCAUGUUUCUGUGGGUUUUGGACCGAUGACAAUUUAAGGACACAAGAGUUGAACACAGAGAAGUAGAAAACGAUUAGCGAAAUCAAGAAAACAAUUUGACACAGGAUCGACUAUAUUUUAACAUACGGCGUUCGAUUGAUUCAAUGAAAAAAAAAAACAAACAUACGACAACUGACCUAACGAGGAGAAAUACAUAUUGAACCAUACCACAAAAUCAAAAAAGAAGACAAACACAAACCGUGUGACCAUAACACUACAUAGGCAAAUCCUGAAUGACUGACCAAUUGAAAACUUUCCAAUCUUCUACCGUAACUUUUUGAGUCAGUUGCAACAGUGUCUUAAUGGAUAUCAUUUUCCGCGUACGGCUCAAACUGCUUCUGAAAGAUUACGUACUCUUUUCUAUCUUCGGGUCUAGUGUAGAGGUUUCAACUCUAUUCAGAGUGCAGCUAGAAACCUAGCAAAAAAAAGGAACUGUACAAUAUUAAAUUGAAGAAAUUUUACAUAUAAAUAGAAGUGAAUGCUGUCUGUUUGUUUGGCUGAGGCUUUGCCACCCGGAUUGUUUUUGCGAGUGAAUAUGUAUUUCGAUGCAUCAAAUUUUGUCGUUAACAAGCGCAUGUCGCCGAAGAAAAGAAAAAUGAAGAAAGUUCGUGAGUGUCGUUUGGCGGAUUCGGUCCCGAGAGAAUUACGUCUGGGGAGAUGGUCGAAAAAUGCAUUAAACAAUGCAUCGUAUCUGCAAAUGAAUGAAAAUGCAAGUUCGGUAGUGCAUAUUGAUUUGUGAAAAAGGAUGAAACGUGGUUCAGAGUUUUCAUCUAAAUCUUAGCCGGUUAAGACGGUGAGAAAAAGCGUCGUAAAAUCAGAAAAAUUGGUCGUUCCUUCUUAUGGAGUGCGUGAGUUAAGGAAAACUUGUAAUAAGAUUUGUGCGGAAGAAAAAGGGACAGAAACGAUUUAGAACCUGACAUGAGUGCUGAAGAUAGUGUGGUUGGCGGUGGGCAGUUUUAAGAAGAAUCUAUAUUGUGCAAGUAUUCUGGCUGCAAUACUUCUCAGCUUAAUUCGGAGAAGAACAAUUUGGAUCACCAGAGGAGCAUGUAACACAUUUUCGUAAUUGGCGAUUUGCGAAUACAAGAUGAUGAAUUUGGUGAGUUCGUUCUGAUGUAAACUGCAAAGUUGCCUGCAACUCGUAAUAAUUAUUAGCAUAUUUUUUAUACAAUAAGCCUAGGCAUAAGGGCCAGGAUACAGAGUAAAUACCUGUGUUCCAUCCCUGGAAAACAAGGACCAAGGGGUGACAUUAACCUUCUUAGCAUCGUCACCCCCACCGAUUUUCAAGUUUUUUUCUUGCUUUCUUAAAAGCUGAAGGGUUGGUACGAGAUGUCCCCGCUCUAUAGCUUUCCUGUAAAAUAACGCUGCACAGUAGGCCUGGCCACUUUAACGCUUAUAAUGCAUUUCCGAUGCACUGCGAGCAUUAAUAACAACCCUCCCGUAACUUGACAGAUGAGCUCAGUUUCGCGUACCUACUUGCAAAUCGCAGAUGUCGCUACUGUUCGUAAACAACGGGUCCAUCCUUCACCGACGCAACAAUUUUUGUCCAUGCGAAAACAUCUUUUUGUUUCGUGGUGAGUGGAAGCCAACGAAAGGCUAGCGUUUCGUAUCGAAAGGACGCAUUCAACAGAAGCGCAAAACUAAUGUUCAUUAAAUUGAAAUUAUUUUGAUUUUUCUUUUAAUUUGUUGUAAGAAAUGUAAUAAAACCACAUGUUUAAACUGUCUUCCAUAUUAAUUGGUGACUGCGCAUGCUAGACCAAAACUCGAAAAAAAAACAUCUGCAAAUGAUUAUUUUUAACUUCCAUUUUGGCUUUGCCACCAGAUAUGUAGCUGUAAAAUGUUAGCAUAAGUAACCUAAUUUAUUACUUGCUAGUGCUUAAUAACCGCACUAGAAGAAAACAUGAGUAUCUUAUAAAUUUUGUGCGUGCCGACUAUUUUGCCUUUACCCGUUUUAUAGAUAUAAUUUUCACUUCUAGUAAACAAAUUCAUCAUGCCGCACUUAAUUUGCAUUUAUCUACCACAAAUAAGCGGAACCAGCAAAUUAAAAUUUCUGUUUAAUGUUUUAAUAUUUUUUGUGCGGUUUGUUGUUGUCGGUUUUCGUCCUUUUCAAAAGUAGCGCUUGCCGCUUUGAAUCUGACAGUACCACCCGGACCAAAAUUUUUAGGUACGCUGACGUUGUUCGGCAGCUGUCAAGAAGCUCCCGGGUUGAUUAAUAAUGACAAGAAAAAUGGUAGAAUUAGUCGGUUCUAUCAUUUUGCAGGAUUCUUUCAAUGAAUGGCUGUGUAUGUGUAGACUAGACUAGACUAGACAUCACAACCAAUAAAGUUUCCCUAGAAAUUUUUCCUUCUUUCAUAGAAGGCGAUUCUUUCAGAUUUUAGUGCUAACAAGUUUUUGUUAACAUGGCAGCUAAUAUAGUUUUCCUAGAAAUUUUCCCUUCUUUCAAAGAAGACGGUUCUUCCAAGUGUAAAUGCUAACAAGUUUUUGUUAACAUGGCAAUUAAUAGUUUUUGAAAUAACUAGUACUGACAAAGUUUCCGUUGAAGUUGUUGUAUUUAGUUAAAUCGCAGUUAAAUCAUGUACAUACAUACAUACAUACAUACAUACAUACAUACGUAUUUUCAAAGAAUAUAUAAAAACUAGUGAAUUAAAACUACUUCUUACGCGUUUCGGGGAAACGGAAAUUCGGGGAAACGGCAUUCGGGGAAACUACAUUCGGGGAAACGGCAUUCGGGGAAAAGGGACAUUCGGGGAAACGGCGUUCGGGGAAACGACAUUCGGGGAAAAGUAGCACAAUCAUGAUAAGGAGGGGUAAUGGCUGAAUAGUCUUUGCUGACCACAUAAACGCCAUGGGAUAGGAAAAGGGUAUUUUGGUGUGGGAUUAGGGUGUUGGUACAGACUUGACAAUAUCAAUGCUAUUCAGAUGCAAAAUAAUUUUAUGGCUCAAAAGUGAAUCGCAUACCUUCCAAAACCAAAAAAAAAAACAAAAAUCCACAAAAUUCCAAGCAAGUCAUAGAAAGGAAAGCGCCCGACCGAUUGUUUAUUUUGUCAAUUAUAACAAACGGAAACUUCUACCUUCUCCGCCAGUCACCCCGGAAAAAAUGUUCCUUCAGUUCCGGAAAAUAUACUAUUCCCAAUGAAGCCUUUAAUCGAAUUGUCCGCGUGGUCUUGUAGUACCCCUACUAGGUAAGAAUCAGUCAUUGCCAUGCAUAUUAAAUGCUAGACAUGACCCCAUGGAUAGCAUUUGCAUAUGUAAAAGCUUUGCUGAUGUGACUUUCCUAUUAGGCAAUUCUCUCAUCUCAUGUUUGUCUUCAAAACCUUGUCAAGCUUAGAAAAUUGAAGUUAAUAAACAAUACAUUACAAGGUUCGAAUUUCCAUAGAAUGAGAUCAUUCAUUCGCACUACAACACCAUAGGAGAUAGUAUCACAUUGGCUGAUUACAGUACAAAUGCGAAAAAUCUCCCUUUUCCCCCUAUCCGCAACCCGGGGACGCGCCUUGUUGGAUUUCUUAAGCCUCGGAGAAUUUUAGGGUGGGGCGGGGCAAGAUGGGUCACCAUAACUUUGUAAAUACAAAUCGUAUUGGUUUGUAUUCGUCCGCUACUUUUUAAUACACUAGUUAGCUAUACUAAAAGUCGAUAAAAAGUUCGUUAAAUACAAAAUAUGAUGUUUAACAAGCAGAUUUUAAAAGUGAUUGAUUUUGCGCCGUGAAAAAAGUGCGGGGCAAGAUGGGCCACCUUUUAAGUAAUUCAUAUUUUCUCAACGAAAAACGUCAAAAUAUAAGAUAUGUUCCGCAUUCAUAUAUGCACCAUAUCCAUACUGAGUAAACAAGAGCUACUACACUAGUGAACAUUUUAUACAUUUAUUUGGAACAUAAAAAAUUUUACGAUUUGAGUGGUCCUAAGGCGACUUGAAAAUCGAUGUUUUUACUAAAAAAUUAUCAUAAUUUUAUGUUAUAAUUUUGAGCGUUCAUUCCGCUUGAUUGAAGUCAUUUAUGAGAUACCCUUGGCAUAUUUACACCUACUAGCUCUUUCAUAACUAAACCACUUUUUUUUUGGUUUUUAUUUCUGUGUAUUUUAACUAAAGCUAAUUCUACACUUCCUAAACCACUAAACGCAACAUAAUGAGAUUGAAUAUAAAAAAAAAACAUUAUAUUCUAAAGGCAUUAUUUAAUCCUUCAGCAGUCAGUGACCAAUUUCUGGAAGAUUAGGGAUUUUUCUUUACUCGUGCAUUAUUUAUUUUGGGAUAUUUUUUUAAAAGUUAAAUCCACAAAACUUUCGUAAGAAAUCAUAGCUAAAUUCCAUUGAAAAUUGCGAACUUUUUUUUUAACUAACCUAGAAUUUUGUUCAUAAUUUUCUUUAACAGUUUCUUUAGUAGAACAUUUCAGAAAUAUCGUUUGAUGUAUUUCCGGAAAGGUCCUUGGAAGAAAUCUUGAAGGAAUUCUCGUGAAAGCAUUGAAACUAUCACUGGAGGAAACUCUCGAGGUAUACCAGCAAGAAUCCCUUGAAAUGCUUGAAUAGUUUUAUGGAGGUAUUUCCAGAGUAUAAUGCAGUUCUAGGAGAAAUCUGAAAUUCACCUGGAGGGAUUUCCGGGCAAAAUCGCUGGAAUGUAUUCAAAAAGAAAUGUCUGGAGGAAUUUUAGAAGAAAUUCCAAGAGAAAUUCAUGAUGCAUUUCCUACAGAAAUUCCCGGAGGAAACACUGGCAGAAUUCCAAAAGAGUCUAAGUUCCCUGAAGAAAUGUCUGAAUGCGCUUUUACCAUGUUAGAACUUAUUUGAUCAAAUGAUUUCACAAUGACUUCUGCGCAACCGAAACCUGCGCUGAAGAACUUAUAGUAAAAAAUCCUGAUAGAAUCCCUAAAUGAACUCUUGAAGAAAAUGCUGUAGGAAUCCCUGUUUAAUGUUUCGGAAACUUCUUGGAGAAAUUCCAGUAGAAAUGUCCGAAGGAAUACACUAUUCGGAACGAGAUCUCUGAUAAAAUACCAGAAGAAAUCCUAAAACAAUCGAUGAAGGAAACCCUAGAGGCACUGCCGAGGGAAUUUCUGAAAAAGUCACUUGAUAUUUUUUCUGGAAGAAUGUCUGAAGGGCUUUCUAAAGGAAUACCUUCAAAACAUCCCUGGAAAAACUCCUAGAGGAAUCUCUAGAGGAGUUCCUGAAAAAAAAUCAAUGGAUAACUUCUUGGAGAGUUUCUUGGAGUAAAAAAAAAAAGAAAAUCAGAAUAUAUUCCAGAAAGAAUCGCAGGAAUUUCUGAAGGAAUUCCUUUGCAGGCGCUGCAGGGGAUAUUGAAGAAAUUCAUGGAUGAACUUCUGAACAAAUCCGCGAAUGAACUCCUUAGAAGAUUUUUUGGAGAUAUUCUUGGGUGCAUUCUUGAAAAAGAUGAUGGAAAGAUUUCUGAAAUUUCUGAAGGAUCAGGGGUUUAAUUUUUUAAAGAGAUCCCAAGAAUUUCUGAAAAAAUCUCCGAAGGAAUUCCUGAAGGAGGAAUUUAAGGAGGAGACCGUGGAAGAAUCCCUGGGGGAAUUCCUCCCUAGAGGAAUUCUUGGAGGAAUCCCUGAAGGAAUUUUUGAAAGACUAACUAUAGAAUUUCCUGGAUGAAUUCUUGGAGGAAUCUCUAGAGGAAAUCUGUGAGGAAUCCCUUAAGCAAUUUCUGGAGCAAUUCCUAGAAGAAUUUCUUGAUGAAUUCCAGGAGAAAUCCUUGGAGACAUUUCUGAAUGUCUGAAUUUCUGGAUGAUUCCUUGAAGCAAUUCUUAGAGAAAUCUCUUAGAGAAUCCUUGAAGGAAUCUCAGGAGGAAUUCCUGGGGGAUUUUUGGAGGAAUUCUUUGAGGAAUUUUAGGAGGAAUUUCCGAAGGGAUUCCUGAAGGAAUUUCCGAAGGGAUUCCUGAAGGAAUUCCUUUAAAAAUUCUGAAACAAGGAGGGUAUCUUGAAAAUUCCUUAAGACAUUCCUGGAUGAAUUCCCGGAGAAAUUUCCGGAAGAUUCCCCAGAGUAAUUCCGGGAGGAUUCCCUGAAGAAAUGUCUGAAUAAAUGUGUCGAUGAAUUCCCAGGGAAAUUUCUGGAGUUAUACCUGAGGGAUCCCUGAAGGUGUUCUUUAAAAAAUCCCAAGAGGAAUUCCUGAGGCAAUUCCUGGAGGAAUCUCUAGAUCAAAUUUUUGGCGGAAUCCUUUGUGAAAUUUGAAGAGGAGAUCUUAGAGAUCCAGAUAUCUAGAGGAAUUUUUGGGAGGGUUUCUGGAUAAAUUUCGGGAGGAAUUCCUGGGGAAAUUUCUGAAGGAAUCGCUGGAAUAUUUCUUGGAGAAUUUACUGGAGAAAUUUCUGGAGGAAUUCCUGGAAGAAUUCCUUGAUCAAUUUCUAGAGGGAUUUCGGAAGGUAUCCCUGGAGGAAUUUCUGGGGUAAUUCCUCGAUAAGUUCUUGGAGAAAUUCUUAAGAGAGUCAAUUCCUGCAGGAUUUCCUGAUGGAAUGCUUGAAGGUAAGCUCAGAGAAAUUCCUGGAGGAAUCCAUAUAGAAAUCUCAAUAGAAAUCCCUGGAGGAAAUCUUGUAGGAACUCCUGGAGGUAUUCCUGCAGGAAUCCUGAGCGCAAUCCCUAAUGGUUUUUCUAAAGGAAUUCAUGAAGGAAUUCCUAGAAGAAUACCUGGGGCAAUAUCUGAAAGAAUUACUGUAGACAUACCGGUAGGAAAUGCUGAAGGAAUCUAUAGGCAAAUUCUUGGAGGAAACUCUAUAGGAAUUCGUGGAGGAGUCUCUGCAUAAAUUCUAGGAGGAAUCCUUAGAGUAGCUCUUGCAGAAAUCCUUGGAGGAAUUCCUAGAAGAAUCCCUGAAGAAUUCCAAGAGGAAUCCUUAGAGAAGUCUCUAGAGGAAUUUCUUGAAGAUUCACUGGCAUUUCAAAGAGGAAUCCCUGGAGGAAUUCUUUGAGGAACCCCUAAAGAUAUUUCUGGAGUAAGGCCUGUAGGAAGUCCUGGAGGAAUCUCUAGAAGAACUUCUACAGGAAUCUCUAUUGGAACUCCUGAAGGAAUUUCCAGA